AGAAGGUCUAUAAGGCAAAGGAAAAGAAUAUACUGGAGAGAUUAUUGUAGCUCAAUUGGAAGUACUAUUAAUAUAAAUGAUGUAUGGGGAAUGAUCAAGAAAAGGGAAGGUAAUAGAAGAUAGUUGAAUUAUCCAGUCCUUUCAGAUGGAGAACAGUUGGCUAUAUCAAACGCAGAGAAAGCAGAAAUGACGGUGAACACACUGAGUAAGUUACAUAGUUCAUGUAAUUUAUCAGAAGAAGAAAUGCCAGCUGCCAUAACACCCAAAAGAAGAAGAAGAAGAAGAAGAAGAAGAAGAAGAAGAAGAAGAAGAAGAAGAAGAAGAAGAAGAAGAAGCAGUUGUUUCAUUUUGGGUUGUGUUUGCCUGUCUCCAAGCAGUAGCCUCUGAUGUGGUGCAUGUUUGAGCAGAAGAUCCCUCAUACCUUUCAGUAGUUCUGCUGAACAAACCUGUGUGAUAUGAUUUCCUGAUGGUCGGUGGUGUUGUGGAGCAGUCUGCUAGUCAAGGAGAAACAGGAGAAACGUGAAGAGACCAGGGUCAUGUAGAGACGGGUGAUGAGACUGAUGCUGAACAGGUGCGUCUCUCUGCUGCAGCAGGAGCCAGAGAGAAAAUAACUGGAAAAAAACAGAAAAGAACAAGCUGCCACAGCACACGAUCUGAAGGACAAAACAUUCAUAUUAUUUACUGUGUUUACACUGGUGAGCCCUGCCACCUUUUUUUUUCUAUUAAACUGUCCUGGGUUCGUUGUUUACCUCUGGGAACAGUUGGUUUAUUCAGUUAGGGGAGUCAAAUUUCUUCUCACUGCAUAAUGCCCCUUUAAGUAGCUCACCAUACUUAAGUCAAUGUACUUAGUUACUUUCCACCUCUUUGUACAUGUCAACCUCAUGUACAAAAACACAGCUUUGUGCAACUCCAGCCUGAGCAUAAUCUUUUAAUUAUUUUUUUUCUCAAUGUCCUUUAUUGCUUUUACUGCCCAUAAUGGUUUUAUCUAUUCUUUGGUGUGAUGUUGUCUUCUCAUAGUCCUUUACUGAUUCUCAAGUGUUGCAUUCUCUUUCUUUUUCUGUGAGUUUGCCUGUUUUUAUCACUUUUAUUCCUUUAACUUGAAAUGAGUCAUUAAUUCUUUGUGUUUUUACAUUUUCUGUUCUGCCUUCUUGUUUUAACUCGUAUAGAGGUGUUAAAUCCAAGACCACCAGACUAAAGAACUCUGUCUUUCCCACUGCCAUCAGACUCCUAAACAGCAGGUAGAAGUUUACAGUCAUGUUAAAUAUUCUACCUCAUAAAUCUCCCACAUUUGCAUUUUUGCACAUUCAUAAAUGCACUCUCACAUUUGCAUGGUUUUGCAAAGGAAGAAUGUCAUUGUAGAGAAAUGUCUCAUUACUGUGCAAACGACAAUAAACAAUACAGACACAU